CACAGGAUAGUAAACCUUUUUCAAGCCCUAUGAAACUGUAAUUAUUUGUCCUCUGUCACUUUGAGACAAGUUUGUAAACUAUAUAGAA